rnacentral:rRNA from 1 species
AUGAGUCAACCUAAUGGGAUCAACAUCCCCGAUGGAAAGUUCUACCUUUGAGAUGUUGGCUAUGCAUGUCGACCGGGUAUUCUUCCACUCUUUAGGAAAACCAGGUACCAUCUCAACAAGUUCUCUGGUAGGAACUAUCCUAGGACUGCAUAGGAGCUGUUUAAUCUCAAACACUCCAGCCUUAGAGUAACUGUUGAGAGGGCAUUUGGAGCUCUGAAGAAUAGGUUUAAGAUCCUGGAUCAGAAGCCAUUCCACCCAUACUCCACUCAGGUUAAGCUUGUUCUUGCUUGUUGCAGUCUGCAUAAUUGGAUCCUCCAGUGGGGCUUUGAUGAACACGUGCCUGAGGAGGAAGAGGUUGAGCCUGACGAUUUUGUUAGCUCUGGUAAUGGUGUGGAGGCAUUUGACAAUGAUGCUUGGAAGAACAAAAGGUUGGAGUGGGCAGAGGUAGUGUGGCUUAAUAGUGGUCAGUACAGGAUUUGA